UUUUUUUUCUCUCUUUCUCUCUCUCUCUCUCUCUCUCUGUCUCUCUCUUACAGCCGUCCAGCAUUCACGCUCCGCUCAGUUAGUUAGGGAUACACGCUCAGCCACUGGAGCGCAAGAAAAAGGUAUGUUAGGUUACACAUCAUGUAGAGCAAGCAGGGGCUUCCACCACUUCAGCAGAGGUGUCUUUUUUCCUUUUUUAUUUCAGUAUGAAACAUUUAGAAGCCAAGACAUCAGCAAAACAUGUUUUACAUUGCUGAGCUGUAUAAAAGUUUGAUAGAGGAGAUGAGCCUUUAAUAAGGCUUGAUAGGGGUGUCUUGGCAAGAGAUAAAAGACUGAAAUCUCCUUUUUUAGUAAGCUUUAUCUUUUUUUUGUAAGCUUUGUGGAAUAAAGACAAAGGAGGAUGGAAAUGUGCACAUAAAAGCUUUGUUACCCUCCCACCCCCAUCUGCCCAUCAACUGACUCCAUUCUUCAACUUGACAUCAUCCUUCCACACAGACAAGGAGAAGAAGAAAAAGAAGAGGAGGAGAAGAAGAGAGAAGCAGAGGUGGGAAGGCAAACAAAUCAGAGAGAGGAAGAGGAGGAAGAGCCGAGAGGAGGUGGGCAGCACAGUUGCAGCUCUCACAAGGCUGAGGAGGAGAAAGUGAAGGCAGCUAGAACUUGGCCACUAGUGAGAUGAAAUUCGGGGAAGAGUCGCUGGAGCGCUGCAGGGUACGACAUCCAACGAGAGCCCUAAAAUUGGAACGCCUGGAAGACGAGCCAGCCCUCUCUGGAUCCUGUGCCCCUCCACAGCCGAAGGAUGAGAGGGGUCGACUUUCACCUUAGUUGCCAGGGAUGUCUGUGCACUACGGAAAGGCGCCCCCCUCCAGCAUGUCCAAUGCUAUGUUAUUCCUGAUGCUUUGCAAGAUUCUCCCUCUUUGUAAUCCAUCUGAGACAACACCUGGACUUUGAUGUACUGUAACCGAUUCCUGGCAGGUGAUGAGUUCUGCAAAGACCUUUUUCCUCUGCCAAACUGUCCGAGAACACAUUCAGUGAAUGCAGCACAGAGAGCACCGUGUAAAUAAAAAGCAAUACAGAUGCCAAGGCAAAAAAAGGAUUGGUCUGAGACGAAAACUGCAGACUUUUCCAGGGAAAAUGGUAAACACUCUCCACAGUGAUGAGGAAAAGGGAAUCCAAGACAAGGAAAGUAAGGAGGAGAGCAUUUUGGCCAUGUUGGGCAUCAUUGGGACCAUUCUCAACUUGGUAGUCAUCAUCUUUGUCUACAUCUACACCACUUUGUAAGUCUCGAACUCUUACUGUACUUCUUCAGUGGGCAGAUCGGAGCUCAUCUGUGCCGUUGAAGCUACAGUAUGUUGACUGAUUUGGAGAUGAAGAUGGGAGGUGUAAGGAAGAGGCCAAAAUUCCCCGGUGGUGAACUGGAUCUAAGACUAUGUGAUCGCCAUAUGGCCUCCAUCCUCCGUCACUUCAAACAACUAAGACUGUGUGAAACUGAUUUGUUCCUCUCCCCUUUACAGGUAGAAUUAUCCAGAAUACCUGGUUACUUUUGACUUUUACAUAAAUGCAUGAAGCUAACAAGAGACGUUCAAAAGAUGCAGCUUUUACCAACACGGGGACUAGAAAGACUGCAGAGAGAGCGUGGACACUUUUGGAAAUAUUUUUCAGAUGUUCUUAUUAACUGAAAUAUGGAAAUGAUCUGAUUUGCUGACAUGGGAUAAAAGAUGAAAAUGUACAGUGAAAGUAAAAACAGCAUUGCUGUUUAUUAUUUUUUCUCAAAGAUUCUCUCAGUAAAAACACAACGUACAUCCAUUUAUAUAAGAUUUAAACAGACAUAUUGAAGAGGUUUGUUUUAUACUGUAUUUCUCACUGUUGUCUGUAAAAAAAAAGAUUUUGGAUGGUUUAUUUCGUUUGACACUAUAUCAACAGAAAAUGUCAUACAAUUCUAAGUUAUUUAAUGUAAAUUUUUUUAAACUAAUGGUGUCUUUAAAUGACAUUAAGUCAGUCUGAAGUGCUGAAACACUAUCUGUAAAUGGGUGUACUUGACAUCGUGCUUGACACAAAAGGGUAGAAGAUCAGACAGAUUAGUGCAAAAUGGCUUGAUUAUCAUUUAUUAUUCAAGAUUUUAAUGCAUCACUUUAGGGUCAUAAACACUUUAAGAUGCAUCCAUUUGUGAGGAAAAUUAUUUUAACUUUUUCAGCUCUGGAGGAAAAAGAAGUGAGAAACAAAGGUGUUCUCGUUGGCCAGAUGCAGCUACUUAGGUUGAUACUGAAUAUACCAACAUGCACAUUUACAAAUAGAUACAUGGGAAACACUGUAACCUGGUCACCCAUACAUGUACAUAGAAUUUACUGAGCUUAAGAGCUUAAAUAGUCUGCAUUUUUCAGCCAUUGAUCUCAGUUUAUACAUUAUUGAUUCAAAACUUAGACUUGUGCAUAAUGACUGUAUGCCUUAAAACAUGAGGAAAUGGCUAUUUCCAUGAUGUAUAAAAUUAUCAGGUUAUUUAUGAAAGGUUUAUUUAUUGUAUAUACGUAUAAUUCAAUACCAGUGUUAUAUUGUUUUUAAUUGAUGAAAGGUCAUUUAUUGGGUAAUUUUAUAAAAAAAAUAAAACAAAAUAUCCUGCUUUUGUCUUAAACAACAUGCAAAAACUUCUGAGAGUUCUGAAAUUGUGAAAUGUGGGGAUAUUUCCAGACCUGGGCCAUUUUUAUCCUUUUCUGUAGUGUAAGACCAGUGUGGGUUUUUGCCACACUGGACAAUACUGUAAACUUCUGGUAUUUUUCUCUUCCAUUGACUGAAACAGAUUCAAACAUAGGCAACAUUUUAUGUGACCUGAAAUGAGGCAAAAUUGUUGUAGUUGAGGGGAAAACUUAAACAAAAAGUGUGUCAAACAUUUGUCCAAAAAGGGUCAGGUCUGCAUUUAUAGGCUGAUCAGAAUCUGGGCCAGUAUGUUUCAGCUUGUACAAAUUGAAUCAGGUCGGGUCAUGUGACAGUCUGGACUAAAAUUAACUUUCUGUUUUUUAUUCAUUUGUGUACAAGAGGCCUGCAAAAUUAUUUUACCUGUAAAACAUCUUCUCAGUUACCUCGGAGUUACAGAUUCAUUUAUUUAAAUUGCAUUAAAGGAAUAGUUUUGGGAAAUAUGCUGGGAGUUGCCGCUGGUUGCAUGGAAACCUCACUGUGACAACAAGGAAGUCAUUGUGCUCAGCUAAGAAAUAGUGCGGUAUAUCCUUGUAAAACCAUAACCAUCAAUAACAACAUCAAUUUCAAGCUUUCCACCCCUACACAUCAACGUAUUUACUUCUCACUAACAACUAUAACAGGUUAGUGAGCUUUAGAGCCACUGGUGGGUGCAUUUUAUACCCUUGGAGAGAGCCAAAGGUUUCUGGGCUUUAUGCUAAGAUAAGCUAACUGGCUGCUAGUUGUAGUUUAAUAUGUGAUGGACAAAUAUAAGAGUCGAUCUUCUCAUCUAACUCUCUUCAAGAAAGCAAAUAAGCAUUUUUCCCAAAAAUAUCAAACCAUUCCUUUAAAAGAAUAGAAGCUAUAAGAGAUUAGAAACGGCCUAUAAAUAAUAAUGUACAGUAUGUAGAGAAUGUAAGGCUAUAGACAACAGGCAUUAUGUGUAAACUAUUAUGUUUGUGUUCGUCAGUCAACCUUAUGAUUUCAGAAAGUGCCUGAGAUCAAGUGUCUCAACUUCACCAGUCGAAAGGUGAAGGAAAGGAAAACACAAACCAGUGAGAGUAUCUUUAUAAGUCCACCUGUCACACAGCCAGAACAGUGGAAGAAGUAUCCUGAUCCACUCCAUUGCAUUUAUAAUGGGAGUGGAUUUCUACUACAUGGCUUAGUGAAUAAAGACAUUUUUUGUCUUGGGUGAGGUUCUCCUACUUGUUUGACAGAAUAAGGAAAAUGAAAGCCUGGUAAGCACACGUACAAGUCUUACGAAUGUAUUCAUAAUUGAUGUAAAAGUCGAUUCUUCAGAUUAUUCUUAUUGUUAAUCUGAAUUUAUUCAUAUGUUUUAUUUAUGUGUAUGCUAAAUCUAUUUAAACUCAUUGAAUAGUCUCUUGUGGGUGACAAAUGGAAGGGUUAAAAGUUUUUCAGCUUGCAGUUUGGUUAAAAAACAUUAAAUAAAUAAAUCUUGAAAGUGA